rnacentral:rRNA from 1 species
UACAGAGGUGGCAAGCGUUGUUCGGAAUUACUGGGCGUAAAGGGCGCGUAGGCGGCCCGUCAAGUCCCGUGUGAAAGCCCCCGGCUCAACCGGGGAACUGCACGGGAAACUAGCAGGCUUGAGUUCGGGAGAGGGAAGCGGAAUUCCGGGUGUAGCGGUGAAAUGCGUAGAUAUCCGGAGGAACACCGGUGGCGAAGGCGGCUUCCUGGACCGACACUGACGCUGAGGCGCGAAAGCUAGGGGAGCAAACGGG